GAUUAACGCUGGCGGUAUGCAUAAAACAUGCAAGUCGAGCGCGGUGUGUGGCUUCGGUUACACAUCUAGCGGCGAACGGGUGAGUAACACGUGAGCAACCUUCCUUUAAGCCCGGGAUAGCUCUGGGAAACCAGAAUUAAUACCGGAUGAAGUUACGACGAGACAUCUCGAUGUAAAAAAAGGGGCAACCCGCUUUUUGACGGGCUCGCGGUCUAUUAGCUUGUUGGUGGGGUAACGGCCUACCAAGGCGAUGAUGGAUAGCUGGUCUGAGAGGACG
rnacentral:rRNA from 1 species